rnacentral:rRNA from 1 species
CAAUAGCGUAUAUUUAAGUUGUUGCAGUUAAAAAGCUCGUAGUUGGAUUUUGGGUCGGGGGCACCGGUCCGCCGUUCCGGUGUGCACUGGUGGCCCCUUCCUUUCUGCCGGGGACGUGCGUCGCACUUAAUUGGGUGGCGUGCGGAGUCGGCGUUGUUACUUUGAAAAAAUUAGAGUGUUCAAAGCAAGCCAUCGCUCUGAAUACAUUAGCAUGGAAUAACAUGAUAGGACUCCGGUCUUAUUUUGUUGGUUUCCGAGACUGGAGUAAUGAUUAAGAGGGACAGUCGGGGGCAUCCGUAUUUCAUUGUCAGAGGUGAAAUUCUUGGAUUUAUGAAAGACGAACUUCUGCGAAAGCAUUUGCCAAGGAUGUUUUCAUUAA